ACUUAAUCUCCAAAUUUGAUCUCGGUAAAAGCGAAUAACGAACUCAAUCGGUAAAGGUUAUUUUAACUGAAAUAUCGUUAAAAUUUGACAGUUCGACGAAAAUAACUUGUCAAAAAUAACGAAAUUCGGUAAUUUACGUUCAUUACUGAUUAUCGGCAAACUAUUUUGCCACAGCAAUCGGCAAUCUAGCCAUGUUGCUGAAUUUCGGUAAAGCGCAUAUGUCAAAAAUGAAAACACGCGUUGCUGGGUGCCAUCUUCAGAAAAAGAUUCUUCACUUCCAUCGCUGGAAUGAUUUUCUCUUCGUUGUUUUGGAGAUGGAGCGCUGCAGGAGCUAGUGCAGGAGCAAUGCAAGAUUCUCGCAUCAAAGGCGCCUGUUUUUCUCUUGCUGCCGGAUUUAACCUGCAGAAGCCAACAUUGCAACAAACUAAAAGUUAAAUGGUCUCCACCGGAGAAAACUUCUCCUCGUAAGCAGCUGCCACAAAGGCCGCCCGUAAAAGUGUUCCCUCGACCGGCGGAGUGAAGUAGCCGCACAGCCGCAUCGUGGCCGGCAGGGAACGGUAGCUCUGCGAGCAAUCCGUCGCCACCAAAAGUUCACCGGGUUGCUGAUUCGUUAGUUGCCGUUCCUGCGCUUGAUGUGUGAAAUUGCGCAGGUAUUGAAGACGGAUCUGCGUUUACAAAGUGCUUCUGUCGAGUGCCCUGCAGCGCAGCGUACCUGAUCGGAUUGUUUGGGGACACCAUCUCUGCGCGAUCCAGGACAUCUAACUGGCCCGGUGCAUCCGCGACGAGCGUGCUCAAGGAGGAACAGGAGGAAGUGUGAAAAUUGUGUUUUUAAAACGAUAAAAAAGCCAAAAGGUUCAUCUCAGGACCAGUCAAUUUCCAUAAAAAAAAACGUUCCGAAGUAUGUAUUUUUUUCGCUAUAUGCUUGCGCGAAUAAAAUUGUUAACCUAAUCAUCA